GAUGGACGCUAGCGGCGUGCCUAAUACAUGCAAGUCGAGCGAACGGACGAGAAGCUUGCUUCUCUGAUGUUAGCGGCGGACGGGUGAGUAACACGUGGAUAACCUACCUAUAAGACUGGGAUAACUUCGGGAAACCGGAGCUAAUACCGGAUAAUAUUUUGAACCGCAUGGUUCAGAAGUGAAAGACGGUCUUGCUGUCACUUAUAGAUGGAUCCGCGCUGCAUUAGCUAGUUGGUAAGGUAACGGCUUACCAAGGCAACGAUGCAUAGCCGACCUGAGAGGGUGAUCGGCCACACUGGAACUGAGACACGGUCCAGACUCCUACGGGAGGCAGCAGUAGGGAAUCUUCCGCAAUGGGCGAAAGCCUGACGGAGCAACGCCGCGUGAGUGAUGAGGGUCUUCGGAUCGUAAAACUCUGUUAUUAGGGAAGAACAUAUGUGUAAGUAACUGUGCACAUCUUGACGGUACCUAAUCAGAAAGCCACGGCUAACUACGUG
rnacentral:rRNA from 1 species